GAAAAAAAUCAACGAUAAUGGUGAAGCCAAAAAUCGCGCCAUCUAUGCUGUCGUCGGACUUUGCAAAUCUGGCGUCGGAGGCGGAACGGAUGAUUCGAUGCGGCGCGGAUUGGCUGCAUAUGGAUAUUAUGGUACUUCUUUGUAUCUUUGUCUCGAUUUAUGUUUCGUGUGGUUCAUCGGGGAUUUUUGUUAUUGAACUGAAAUUGUGUUUUAACAGAUCGAGUUGUUCGAGAAAUCAAUUUCAAUAGAACCCGAUAAAAAUUGAGCUAGAAUCAUUUGCAUUUUGUACUUACUUUAGCUUAUUGUGCUGCUGUGCUCAUUCAAAGCGUGCUGUUAUUGAACUGAAUUUGAGCUCGACCAAUUCGCGUUACUAUUCAAUUUGAUUAAUUUCAAUAGGAAAUUUUUGUGCUGAGCUCGACUUAAGUCGUUAACUUAAUACGCCUAGUUCAAGAAGGUUUUGUUAAUCGACGACCUCAUUAAAAAAUUAAAGUUCGAAGUGAGUAGUACCGUUUGGUUAAUUCUCUAACUAGUGAGACGUUUGGAUCAACAUUUUCAAGUGAUCGACUGAUUGUUGUUGAAAACAUCGUGACAUUUACACAUAAAUAGUACAUUAUCAGAACACAUUAUUGAUUUAUUGCAUAAAGUGUGAGAUACUAUUGAUAUUGGCUUGCUUUUUCACAAACUUUUGUGAAUCUAAUACUAGUUUCCUAGGCGCAUGUGACCUAUUAAAUUUUUCUGCAGCUAAUUUUGUUGUAGCGAGCAACGUUCGUUAUGUUUCAUAGAAUUUGGCAUGCACUAUAACUAAUUUCUGGUUCAUUGCAGGACGGGUAGGUUCUUACUUGUUACUCAGUUGAAGAAUCAUCAUUCUCACAUUCUGCUGAUGAUGAUAAUAUACCAAGCCUGCAAAAUAUUCAAGCUGUUACUAAGUAUUUUCCUCAAUGGAAUUUAACUAUUGGAUAUUUUGAAUUGAUGUCUGUAUCGUGUUUUACAGUCAUUUCGUGCCAAACCUCACAAUUGGGGCUCCAGUGAUAGAGAGUUUGAGAAAGCACACACAGUAAACACUUCAUCCUUUUUCUCAUAUACCAGCUCAAAUUAUGACUUUUACACGUGUGAAGUUC
rnacentral:lncRNA from 1 species